CACUAACUUUACCCAAAUCCCGAAACCCUUAUCAGUUUCGUUCCACUAUAUCUCGAUCUGCUACCUCAGUCUCUCUCAACCGCUGUGCUCCUUCUCUCAACCCCUACACCCCAUCGUGCCGCCACCGUCCCUGGCGCGCCGCUGCCCGCUGCCGCUCUUGUCUUUCAUCGUCCAACACUUUGGCUCAAGGUUCUUGGCCGCACAACUGAGGUCAGUGGUUCUCCAUCCUCGAUUUGUUAACGCUGAGGAAGGCCAGCGACUCCAAUUUCUCCUCCACGCCUUCCAAACGCAUCCUUGCGAGAAGGCCUCACCUCUUCAUCCUCCUCGCCUGCACAUUGGCCCCUCACGGUGGCGGAAGAAGCUCUCGUGUAAGGCUCACCCUUCGGAGUGAUAGGACAUUGGAAGCAUUUUCUCCUGUUUGCUUGCCAAGAUACAAUCCUUUGGCAUUUUUGUACGCUUAUACUUAUAUCCACUAUUUUGAUGAUGACACAUACCUGAUGUUGUUGACGACUAGUUCUGAGGCAUUUUACCAUCUUAAGGAUUGCAGUUUUGCUAAAAACUCCAUCCAUAGCUCAUUGGACCUGACUAAUCAUUCGGGCAAGUGAUCCAAACUUUUUCCGUUCCCCUCUGUCUUACUAGUGCACCCGGUCGUGCCGCCACCGUCCCUGCCGCGCCGCUGCCACUCUUGUUUUGCGUCGCUUCGUGUAGUAGUUCGUCACCCUGUUUUCAGAGUUUAAUAGCGUUUCACCGUUCCUCUCCUCAGGCAAGUUUCUUCUUCCUCAUAAGGUAUAUUUCAGGGCUAAGGUUAUCUUUGGAUUAAAUGCUCUUGUGGGAAAACAUGUAAAUCUCAGUUCUGCUAUUGGACCUUGGAGCUAAGUCAAUGCUAUCUCUUAUAUGUUACUGGCACAAUAAGACUAUAAUUGAUAAUGAUUAUCUUUAGGCUCUCAUCAUCUUUAUCACAAGGCACGUGUGCACUUGAAAAUGAUAAAAUUUCUUCCCCAAAUUUUAAUAUGAAUAUUUGUAGAUGGUACCGGAUUAAGAUUAUUGUGAGAUAAAAGGAGAGAACAGUGAAGAUGGCUUUUUUUUUUGAAUUCCUGCUAGAGUUGUUCAAUAUGAAGGUAAUUCAUCUUAAGUUGGGGGAAGGUGUAUUAAUUUUCUCAAUAUUGUGAUGAAUUUGAUAAACAGAUUAGGUCACUUCAGAUUAUGACAAGGAAAAAUUACAAGAAAGAUUAGCCAAGAUUUCUGGGGGUGUUGCAGUGCUUAAGUGGUGGUGGCGGUAUUGGAAUGCAUGGUGGUGGCGGUGGCGACGGUGGUGAUAAUAAUGGCAGUAGCGGUGAUGGUGGCAGUGGUGGAGGAUGGUAAUGGUGGUGAUAGUGGCGAUAACGAUGGUUGUAUCAACGAUGGUGGCAGUGAUGGAGCGUGGUGGUGGUGGCGGCAACGGCAGCGGAGGCGACGACGGUAGUGGAGAAUGGUGGCGACAGUGGUGGUUGUGGCGGCAGCGCAAUGGUAGUAGUGGCGAUAACGAUGACGAUAUCAACAAUGGUGGCAGUGGUGGAGCGUGGUGGUUGUUGCGACGACGAUGGUGUUGGUGGUGGUGGCGACGGUGAUAGUAGUGGCAGUAGCGGCGAUGGUGACUGAUAGCAUUUCCGCAAGUGUACGGAAUGAUCGAAGUAAUACAAAGAUAUCGAACCACAGAGAUAGUAGCUUAUCAACUUGUUCAAGGAACGUAAUGUUUAGAAUUGUAAAAUGAAAAAGCAAUAUAUGUUUGAAGUUUGGUUGUGUGCAAAAACACUUGUAAUGAAAAGCUAGAAUUAUAAUUCAGAAAAGAAGUACCCUGGGCAAAGCUCCACUUAGUCCAA